rnacentral:rRNA from 1 species
GAUGAACGCUAGCGGCAGGCUUAACACAUGCAAGUCGAGGGGUAUAGUUCUUCGGAGCUAGAGACCGGCGCACGGGUGCGUAACGCGUAUGCAAUCUACCUUUUGCAGAGGGAUAGCCCAGAGAAAUUUGGAUUAAUACCUCAUAGUAUGUGAGAAUGGCAUCAUUUUCACAUUAAAGUCACAACGGCAAAAGAUGAGUAUGCGUCCCAUUAGCUUGUUGGUAAGGUAACGGCUUACCAAGGCAACGAUGGGUAGGGGUCCUGAGAGGGAGAUCCCCCACACUGGUACUGAGACACGGACCAGACUCCUACGGGAGGCAGCAGUGAGGAAUAUUGGACAAUGGGCGCAAGCUUGAUCCAGCCAUGCCGCGUGCAGGAUGUCGGUCCUAUGGAUUGUAAACUGCUUUUGUACAGGAAGAAACACUGGUUCGUGAACCAGCUUGACGGUACUGUAAGAAUAAGGAUCGGCUAACUCCGUGCCAGCCGCCGCAGUAACAC